CUGUUUGUUUACUUUAGCCCACAUGUUCCCCCUAAAAGCUGCCGCAUGGUCAAGCCACUUAAGUUCACCCAGCAGAUCAGCAGAGACAAGUCACAUGCAAAUAUAUUUUCCUCCUAACUGGAGUGCCUGUCCUGCUUAGUUUUGUCUGCUUGUUGGAGUCAUUGACUUUAUUCCUGCUUGAGUGUUCUUUGAAAGAUCCACUAUUCACACUGUGUUGGUUUUAGAUUUUAGGGUUUAAGUCUCAAUUUCUUCGGGUUUUUUUUGGUUUAGUCUUUGGAUUUUAGGUUUUAUUCUUUGCUUUUAGUUUCUGGUUUUUGGUUUAAGGUUCUUGUGAAUAAAUUCUUUUUGGUCCUUUUUUUGUUAGAAAUCUAGAAUUGGUCUCUGGUCUCUAUUAAUUCAAUUUCCUCGCGACAGUUCCCUUCAAAGAUCCUGAGUUUAGUUUAGUUUUGUUAGUUAAUCCCCAUAGAGUCUUAGUUUGUGCGAGUUCCCCCAAGUGUGUCGUUUUUCACGGUUACAUUUUUUUUACCAUUUUUGGUGGAGAAUCCGGGUACUAGCGCACUGUUUUUUAUAUAACUUAGCCAGCUAAAAGAAAAAAAUGUAACCCAGAAAAAUGGAACAAAGGGAUUGGACCUAGGAUCUCUAGAAAAUCGCGAGGAAAAUUAAGUUGGCAAAGAAACAGAGAUUCAAGAGCUAUCACUGGAACGCAUUUAUUUCUCCUGAACGACAAUUAAAAAAA